GGAAGGAUCAUUACCACGUUCCAAACGUAUCAACCCAUCGCGAACCGUUUUCAAACGCUCCCAACAUAGAGAAUGAGUAGGAACCAGCUGUGACUCGUAUGCGUGCGGAGUCUGCGCAAGCAGACUAGCGAGUGCUAUCACUUGUGUCGAAAGACACAGACGCUGUAUCUCUAUGUGUGGCUAUUUUCAGACUACUUUGAUCUCCGACACCGGUCGCGAGUAGUUUGAAGCAACACUUUCACACUAAUCACCUUUUUUGCUAGUUGACUUUUAUCUGUUGCACUUUGCUUCGGCAUGGCGCACACGUUUAAUUAUUUGAACGUUAAAAAUACAACUCUUAGCAAUGGAUAUCUUGGUUCUCGCAACGAUGAAGAACGCAGCGAAAUGCGAUACGUAAUGCGAAUUGCAGAAUUCAGUGAAUCAUCAAAUCUUUGAACGCAAAUUGCGCUCUUGGGUAGCCCUAGGAGCACGCCUCUCUCAGUAUCGGUUCAACCCACACUCAGCAGCGUACUGGCAACAGUGCGCGCUCGCUGGAGAAUGAGAGUCCCUAUGCCAGCCAUAGAGUCUCUUUAAAUGCAUGGAGCGAUUAGACAACGAACGAUCAACUCUGCCGCUCGCGGCAGAUAGGCAGCGGCCGACUGUUGCUCGUAAGUGACGUGAAUACUGGCCUUCUGGUCUCAACUUUACGUGUAUCUUACGGGCGGCGUUUAGUCAGCAGCUGGCGAACGAUCGCCUCGGGUGUAGUCGCGUGAGAAAACCAUAUGAGUUGCGAACGUCACUGUUCGUGCCUCUGUAUUUUGAUCUGAGAUGAAGCGAGACAACCCCCUGAAUUUAAGCAUAUUAAUAAGGGGAGGAAAAGAAACUAACAAGGAUUCCCCCAGUAACGGCGAGUGAAGCGGGAAGAGCUCAAUUUGAAAAUCGAUUACCUAAACGGGUCAUCGAGUUGUAGCCUAGAGACGUACUAUCAGCUGAAACCUGGGUAUAAGUUCUUUGGAAUGAGGCAUCAUAGAGGGUGAGAAUCCCGUAUAUGACCCAAAGCUUUCAGCGUACGAUGUAUGUUCAUCGAGUCGAGUUGUUUGGGAUUGCAGCUCUAAAUGGGUGGUAAGUUUCAUCUAAAGCUAAAUAAUGGCGAGAGACCGAUAGCGAACAAGUACCGUGAGGGAAAGAUGAAAAGAACUUUGAAAAGAGAGUUAAAAGUACUUGAAAUUGCUAAGAGGGAAGCGCUGAACACCAGUGAUAUGCUGUGUCAAUCGCGCUCGGCCCCACUAGACCGUGCGAGUAAUUGGAAACUCUGCUUGCGCGUUCGAAAGGGAGGUCGUGCGUUUAUGAUGCAGUGUCAGUCAAGAUCAAUUCGAACUGUGGGAGAAGGUCGCUAGAAAGGUAGGAGGGCAACCUCUGUUAUAUUCUUGUGACUCUACCUCGGCUUGGAUUGAGGAAGGAAUGGUGCGCCGCUUGCGGCUUGGUCCGGCGUCUCUUGUGUCUCAGUCGUUCCGAUAGCAAUGCUAUCUCUAUGGCGAAGGGCGCAACUGGGCGUCGUGACUCUAUGUGCUAUCACGAUCUUGUACGAAAUGGUGUUCAUCGACCCGUCUUGAAACACGGACCAAGGAGUCUAACAUCUAUGCGAGUAUUUGGGUGCAAAACCCUGAUGCGUAAUGAAAGUAAAGGUAGCUUCGGCUGCUGAGGUAGGAAUCCCGCAAGGGAGGCACUAUCGACCGAUCAUCACUUGUGAAAGAUUUGAGUAAGAGCAUAUCUGUUGGGACCCGAAAGAUGGUGAUCUAUGCCUGAACAGGGUGAAGCCAGGGGAAACUCUGGUGGAGGCUCGUAGCGAUACUGACGUGCAAAUCGUUCGUCUGAUUUGGGUAUAGGGGCGAAAGACUAAUCGAACCAUCUAGUAGCUGGUUCCCUC
rnacentral:misc_RNA from 1 species